GAUGAAGAACGUAGCGAAAUGCGAUACGUAAUGUGAAUUGCAGAAUUCAGUGAAUCAUCGAGUCUUUGAACGCACAUUGCGCCCCCUGGUAUUCCGGGGGGCAUGCCUGUCCGAGCGUCAUUGCUGCCCUCAAGCACGGCUUGUGUGUUGGGCCUCCGUCCUCCUCCCGGGGGACGGACCCGAAAGGCAGCGGCGGCACCGCGUCCGGUCCUCGAGCGUAUGGGGCUUCGUCACCCGCUCUUGUAGGCCCGGCCGGCGCUUGCCGACACAUCAAUCUUUUUUCCAGGUUGACCUCGGAUCAGGUAGGGAUACCCGCUGAACUUAAGCAUAUCAAUAAGCGGAGGA
rnacentral:misc_RNA from 1 species